rnacentral:rRNA from 1 species
CGCGUAGGCGGGUAUAUAAGUUAGAUGUGAAAUUUCGGUGCUCAACACCGAAGCUGCAUUUAAAACUGUAAAUCUUGAGGGUAGGCGGAGAAAAUGGAAUUCCACGUGUAGCGGUGAAAUGCGUAGAUAUGUGGAAGAACACCGGUGGCGAAAGCGAUUUUCUAGCUUAUACCUGACGCUGAGGCGCGAGAGCAAGGGUAGCAAACAGGAUUAGAUACCCUGGUAGUCCUUGCCGUAAACGCUGUAUACUUGAUGUAGUUGGGCUCAACCCUGACUGUGUCGUAGCUAACGCGAUAAGUAUACCGCCUGGGAAGUACACUCGCAAGGGUGAA